rnacentral:lncRNA from 1 species
UACGUGAAAUUUAAAGAUAGGUUGCUUUAUAGGUUGCUUUAUAGUUGCUGAACAUUAAACACGUGAACACAAAAAUUGCAAACAUAAAACAUUGACGUUAAAAAGUAUUUUGGUUGCUACUACAAAAGUGAAAUGUAAAGUUUGAAAGAACUUUAUCAUGCAUUGUAAAAUCUUCUUAUUUUUGGUGAUUACCAUAUGGUUAAUUAUAUAAUUCAUGGUGUUAUACGUAAUUUGUGGAUUUCCUUUCAAAUGUACUCCUUGUUUAUUGAGGCCAAAAUGGAAUCAAGCCAAUAUGGAUACCCACUUCAGUGAAGCAUAUUCUAGUGAGCGCGUUUCAAUCAAGCCAAUAUGGAUACCCAGUUCAGUGAAGCAUAUUCUAGUAAGUGCCUUUUCCAUUGGUCAAAACAAAUGGUAGUCAGACAGAACAAGAUAUUGGCUUGAUGAUCUGCACAAGUGUUUCGAGACCAAAUGCAAAACGAGACAGCAAAAACAUGAAUUACUUUUGUGCUAUUAGAAUUUGAAUUAUUAAUUUCAAACGAAACCUCUUAUAUGUUUAUGAAAAAAAUGUAUUUUAGAAA